AAUACGACGAGAACAUGAUCAAGC
rnacentral:siRNA from 1 species